rnacentral:lncRNA from 1 species
UCUUCUUUUACUUUAUUUUUUUUCAAAAUCUUUUUACUUAAUCCUCACUUAUCCCACACCCAAAUGUUAGGAUAUCUACUCUAAAAUCUAUAGAGGGCAUCCCCUAUAAAUAGAAAAUGCAAAGGUGCAUAGGUCUCCCAAGGGGCGCCAACUCUUGGUGCUCCACCUUCUCACAUGAGAAAAUGAAUCCUCAUACAAGAAUAAAUGGUGUGGAGAGUCCCAAGUAUAGAAAAACUCUUCCUCUUCCACACCCAUAAAUAUCAUUUGUUAAUGAUGUGUGAAAGAAAUAAAUGGAGUGGGAAAUAAUGAGAUAUAUUAAAAGAAAGUCUCUUCUUUUACCACACCCAUAAAUUUUGGCAUUGAAUUUAGGUGCGUGACAUGGAGAAUCUCUUUCACACAUAAAAUACUUUCAUGUAAAGGUAAAAAACUAAUUAAAUAUAGAUCUAAUCUAAUU